rnacentral:rRNA from 1 species
GAUGAACGCUGGCGGCGUGCCUAAUACAUGCAAGUCGAGCGAACAGACGAGGAGCUUGCUCCUCUGACGUUAGCGGCGGACGGGUGAGUAACACGUGGAUAACCUACCUAUAAGACUGGGAUAACUUCGGGAAACCGGAGCUAAUACCGGAUAAUAUAUUGCACCGCAUGGUUCAAUAGUGAAAGACGGUUUUGCUGUCACUUAUAGAUGGAUCCGCGCCGCAUUAGCUAGUUGGUAAGGUAACGGCUUACCAAGGCAACGAUGCGUAGCCGAGCUGAGAGGGGGAUCGGCCACACGGGAACUGAGACACGGUCCUGACGCCUAAGGGAGGCAGCAGUAGGGAAUGUUACGCAAUGGGCGAAAGCCUUACGGAACAACGCCGCGUGAGUGAUGAAGGUCUUCGGAUCGUAAAACUCUGUUAUGAGGGAAGAACAAAUGUGUAAGUAACUAUGCACGUCUUGACGGUACCUAAUCAGAAAGCCACGGCUAACUACGUG